rnacentral:rRNA from 1 species
AAGUUCCUACGGGGCGCAGCAGUGGGGGAUAUUGGACAAUGGGGGAAACCCUGAUCCAGCGACGCCGCGUGAGUGAAGAAGUAUUUCGGUAUGUAAAGCUCUGUCAGCAGGGAAGAAAGAAAUGACGGUACCUGCAGAGGAAGCCACGGCUAACUACGUGCCAGCAGCCGCGGUAAUACGUAGGUGGCAAGCGUUGUUUGGAAUAACUGGGCGUAAAGGAUGCGUAGGCGGUUAAACAAGUUAUAUGUUAAAUAUAUAGGCUUAACCUGGAGAAAGCAUAUAAAACUGUUUAACUAGAGUGCAGG